rnacentral:rRNA from 1 species
AACAUGGAGAGUUUGAUCCUGGCUCAGGAUGAACGCUGGCGGCGUGCUUAACACAUGCAAGUCGAACGAAGUCUUCGGACUUAGUGGCGGACGGGUGAGUAACGCGUGAGAAUCUACCUUCUAGAUGGGGACAACCGUUGGAAACGACAGCUAAUCCCCAAUAAGCCGAGAGGUGAAACGGGAUUCCGCUAGAAGAGGAGCUCGCGUCCGAUUAGUUAGUUGGUGGGGUAAAAGCCUACCAAAGCGUCGAUCGGUAGCUGGUCUGAGAGGAUGAGCAGCCACACUGGGACUGAGACACGGCCCAGACUCCUACGGGAGGCAGCAGUGGGGAAUUUUCCGCAAUGGGCGCAAGCCUGACGGAGCAACGCCGCGUGUGGGAAGAAGGCUCUUGGGCUGUCAACCACUUUUCUCAGGGAAGAAUUACUGACGGUACCUGAGGAAUCAGCCUCGGCUAACUCCGUGCCAGCAGCCGCGGUAAUACGGAGGAGGCAAGCGUUAUCCGGAAUUAUUGGGCGUAAAGCGUCCGCAGGGGGCGCAUCAAGUCUGCUGUUAAAGGUCGGAGCUUAACUCC